UCACCUGGCGCUGGUGAUUUAGGACUGGGGGCUGUAGCCACAGCCCGUCCCUAGCAGCAGCGGCGUCGGAGUGAACGCGUACACGUGACUCCGGCUUUGGCUCCUCAGUGCCUCUACAAACAGAGGCGCGCACACACAUUCCUUCUCUUCUCCAUCCAGUCUCUUCCCCUCCUUCCCUGUCACACACACGCCGUGCGAGCCGCCGCCAGGGCAAAGCUCUAGGCACACGCCGGGGUGGCAGCGCCAGGAGCAGCAGCGGUUCAACCAAGAAGCAAGAGUUUGCAAAGGCUGCUGUGCCCGGCUGAAGAGGCUUUGCACCCGGAGGAUGGCUGGCUGCGGGCUGUCAGAAGAUGCCUUCUUCUCUUCCUUCUUCUACAACUACACCUCCUCCUGGGAGAGCUCCUACAACCAGAAUUUGGAUUCUGGAUCAGAGGUCCAUAUACUCAGCAAGACAGCCGCUAAUACCUGUUCUUCAGAGGAAGGUGCAAGAAGCUCUACACAACACAGCUCGGGAAUAGCUUGCCUUCAAGGAAAGUUUCUUUCUAACCUCCAUUAGUUAAGAUUGGCUUAUGCACUGAAGCAUGAGGGUUUAAAUCUUUGAUGUCCCUUCUCUUCAUGUAUCAGUAUAACAAUGCCUGCAUCUGUAAUUUUCACUCCAUGCAUCUGAAGAAGUGGGUUUUUUACCCACGAAAGCUUAUGCCCAAAUAAAUCUGUUAGCUUUUAAGGUGUCA
rnacentral:lncRNA from 1 species